GACGAACGCUGGCGGCGUGCUUAACACAUGCAAGUCGAACGGAAAGGCCCUGCUUUUGUGGGGUGCUCGAGUGGCGAACGGGUGAGUAACACGUGAGUAACCUGCCCUUGACUUUGGGAUAACUUCAGGAAACUGGGGCUAAUACCGGAUAGGAGCUCCUGCUGCAUGGUGGGGGUUGGAAAGUUUCGGCGGUUGGGGAUGGACUCGCGGCUUAUCAGCUUGUUGGUGGGGUAGUGGCUUACCAAGGCUUUGACGGGUAGCCGGCCUGAGAGGGUGACCGGCCACAUUGGGACUGAGAUACGGCCCAGACUCCUACGGGAGGCAGCAGUGGGGAAUAUUGCACAAUGGGCGGAAGCCUGAUGCAGCAACGCCGCGUGCGGGAUGACGGCCUUCGGGUUGUAAACCGCUUUCGCCUGUGACGAAGCGUGAGUGACGGUAAUGGGUAAAGAAGCACCGGCUAACUACGUGCCAGCAGCCGCGGUGAUACGUAGGGUGCGAGCGUUGUCCGGAUUUAUUGGGCGUAAAGGGCUCGUAGGUGGUUGAUCGCGUCGGAAGUGUAAUCUUGGGGCUUAACCCUGAGCGUGCUUUCGAUACGGGUUGACUUGAGGAAGGUAGGGGAGAAUGGAAUUCCUGGUGGAGCGGUGGAAUGCGCAGAUAUCAGGAGGAACACCAGUGGCGAAGGCGGUUCUCUGGGCCUUUCCUGACGCUGAGGAGCGAAAGCGUGGGGAGCGAACAGGCUUAGAUACCCUGGUAGUCCACGCUGUAAACGGUGGGUACUAGGUGUGGGGCCCAUUCCACGGGUUCCGUGCCGUAGCUAACGCUUUAAGUACCCCGCCUGGGGAGUACGGCCGCAAGGCUAAAACUCAAAGGAAUUGACGGGGCCCCGCACAAGCGGCGGAGCAUGCGGAUUAAUUCGAUGCAACGCGUAGAACCUUACCUGGGUUUGACAUGGAUCGGGAGUGCUCAGAGAUGGGUGUGCCUCUUUUGGGGUCGGUUCACAGGUGGUGCAUGGCUGUCGUCAGCUCGUGUCGUGAGAUGUUGGGUUAAGUCCCGCAACGAGCGCAACCCUUGUUCACUGUUGCCAGCACGUUAUGGUGGGGACUCAGUGGAGACCGCCGGGGUCAACUCGGAGGAAGGUGGGGAUGACGUCAAGUCAUCAUGCCCCUUAUGUCCAGGGCUUCACGCAUGCUACAAUGGCUGGUACAGAGAGUGGCGAGCCUGUGAGGGUGAGCGAAUCUCGGAAAGUCGGUCUCAGUUCGGAUUGGGGUCUGCAACUCGACCUCAUGAAGUCGGAGUCGCUAGUAAUCGCAGAUCAGCAACGCUGCGGUGAAUACGUUCCCGGGGCU
rnacentral:rRNA from 1 species